ACUCAAAUGAAUUGACGGGGGUCCGCACAAGCGGUGGAACAUGUGGUUUAAUUCGACACUACGCGAGGAACCUUACCUAGGUUUGACAUGUUUAUGACCGCUCCAGAAACGGAGCUUUCUCUGGGAAACCAGGGACAUAUUCACAGGUGCUGCAUGGCUGUCGUCAGCUCGUGUCGUGAGAUGUUGGGUUAAGUCCUAUAACGAGCGCAACCCCUACUAUCAGUUGCUACUUCGUAAGAAGGCACUCUGAUGGGACUGCCUGGGAAACCAGGAGGAAGGUGGGGAUGAUGUCAAGUCCGCAUGGUCCUUAUGCCUAGGGCAACACACGUGUUACAAUGGCCAGUACAAAGGGCUGCAAACCCGCAAGGGGAAGCCAAUCCCAUAAAGCUGGUCUAAGUUCGGAUUGAGGUCUGCAACUCGACCUCAUGAAGUUGAAAUCGCUAGUAAUCGCGUAUCAGAACGACGCGGUGAAUACGUUCUCGGACCUUGUACACACCGCCCGU
rnacentral:rRNA from 1 species